rnacentral:lncRNA from 1 species
CCACUAGAAAUCACUGAUCAUGGAGAUUUUCAUAUCUCUACUAAGGGAGUGUAGGGAUCUGAGAAAAUAGUGGGAGCCUAAUUUGUUUAAAAAUAAAACCCUUAAACAAAUUGGUUAAGUCUAAUUACAAAAUCUAACUAGAAACUUUUGACUCUCUACAAGAAAUAUGUCUGCGUCCAACCCCCUGACCAAAAUACUAGACACCCAC